GUCCCAGCUCAGGGGUAGAACAUCUGUUUUGCAUGCAGAAGGUCCUAGGUUUGAUCCCCAGCAUUUCCA
rnacentral:tRNA from 1 species